rnacentral:lncRNA from 13 species
AUGUGUUUCCCGGGCUGGGGCUCUGGGCAGAUGAGCUCUCAUUCAGGGCCAGCCUCUACCUCUAUAUCUGCCUCAGCUGCAGACAUGCUGAUGAACUGGGGCUCUGGGCAGAUGAGCUCUCAUUCAGGGCCAGCCUCUACCUCUAUAUCUGCCUCAGCUGCAGACAUGCUGAUGAACUGGGGCUCUGGGCAGAUGAGCUCUCAUUCAGGGCCAGCCUCUACCUCUAUAUCUGCCUCAGCUGCAGACNNNNNNNNNNNNNNNNNNNNNNNCAGGGAGAGCAGAGCAGAGCAGAGCAGGGCUGGGCAGGGCAGGGCAGGGCAGGGCAGGGCAGGGCAGGGCAGGGCAGGGCAGGGCAGGGCAGGGCAGUUAGAGCAGAGCAGAGCAGGCAGAGCAAAGCAGAGCAGACACAGUGUGAAAUAAAUUUAACCCGCGGUCCCUGCACAUGACAUUGCACAUAAAUAUUCAAUAAAUUAGCCUGGGCUGUUUUAUACAGUAGAUUGAUCAGUCAUCUCUCGGCAACCCUGUGACAGGCAAUGCUGGGGCUGAAAUAUUAAUGCUGACAAAUUAGGGAUUUCUGAGUAAAUUAUGUCAAAUCGCACGGCUUCACUCAAAUUUACUCCCUGGCACGAGGGACAUUUGCCGGCGCGGUAAUGCACUUCCUACCCUCACGCCCCUGCACCAUCCCUCCCUCCUCCUCGCUUCUGCCUCAAAAUGACAUUCAUUAUUUUAUCGUUAAGCAGGUGUCCUUCUUUCCUGGUGCCCGGGCAGCGAAAGAAAAGGAAGAGCAAAAAAGGAGGGGGAGAAAAAUGUACCUCUGAAGGGCCAACCAUGUGCAUGUCCCACAUCUGUGUAGUUCAUCAACCAUGUCUGCACAACGCAUCACCGGGUGCAAACUACCUGCCCUCCAGGACACCUACAGCACCCGAUGUCACAGGUAGGUCAAAAAGAUCAUCAAGGACAACAACCACCUGAGCCACUGCCUGUUCACCCUGCUUCCAUCCAGAAAGCGAGGUCAGUACAGGUGCAUCAAGCUGGGACCGAGAGACUGAAAAACAGCUUCUAUCUCAAGGCCAUCAGACUAACUCAAGGCCAUCACUAACUCAGAGAGGCUGCUGCCUACAUUGAGACCCAAUCACUGGCCACUUUAAUAAAUGGAUGACUUAAUGGAUGACUUAAUGCAAUGCACUCCAAAUAAUGCCACUUUAAUAAUGUUUACAUAUCUUACAUUACUCUAAUCACAUGGUAUAAAGUACAGUAUAUACAUCUAUUGCACCUAUAUCGCUCAUCCAUAUACUUACAUGUACAUAUUCUCAUUCACCCCUUUAGAUGUGUGUGUAUUAGAUAGUUGUUGGGGAAUUGUUAUAUUACAUGUUAGAUAUUACUGCACUGUCAGAGCUAGAAGCACAAGCAUUUCGCUAAACCCACAUUAAAAUCUGCUAAUCAUAUGUACGUAUGUGACAAAUACAAUUUGAUUUGAUUUAUGUGCUUGUCCCACAUCUGUGUCGUUCAUCUCUAAAGGGACACUAUGUGCUUGUCCCACAUCUGUCGUUCAUCUCUAAAGGGACACUAUGUGCUUGUCCCACAUCUGUGUCGUUCAUCUCUAAAGGGACACUAUGUGCUUGUCCCACAUCUGUGUCGUUCAUCUCUAAAGGGACAACAUGUGCUUGUCCCACAUCUGUGUAGUUAAUCUCUAAAGGGACACUAUGUGCUUGUCCUACAUCUGUGUAGUUCAUUGUGACAAUUGGAGUUGAGAUUUGUGACUGGGUGGAAAGCUCCCAUUUAAAAGCAUUAAUGUGUGUGUGUGUGUGUGUGUGCUUGUGGGCAUGGGCGUCUCUGUGAUGUUGUGUGUGUUGUGGAAUGAUGAGGGUUUGUGUGUGUGUGGGGUGGGGGUUAUUGGUUGUACUCUGGACUGAGAUACUCUGGGGACCCAGUUGGAGAUGGCUGUGUGUGCAGGACAGGGCGGAAUGUGACAGGGUCUCAGGGGAAAUACACCUGCAUGUCUGAGGUGGUCUCCACUUGGUCAGGAGAAGAUCUCUACAAGCUCCUAUCACAUAUCACAGCAUUAUUAUGUAGCAGAGCUCGGAGAGAUACUUGAGAAUAUGUAGGGCUACAGAUAAAUACAUUAUUUUAUACACUGAGUGUACAAAACAUUAGGAACACCUUCCUAAUAUUGAGUUUAACCCCCUUUUGCCCUCAGAACAGCCUCAAUUUGUUGAGGCAUGGACUCUACAAGGUGUCGAAAGUGUUCACCAGGGAUGCUGGCCCAUGUUGACUCCAAUGCUUCCCACAGUUGUGUCAAAAUGUCUUGGUGAUGGACCAUGCUUGAUACACACAGGAAACUGUUGAGCAUGAAAAACCCAGGAGCUUUGCAGUUCUUGACACACUCAAACUGGUGUGCCUGGCACCUGCUACCAUUCCCCGUUCAAAGGCACUUAAAUAUUUUGCCAUGCCCAUUCAUCCUUCUUUACCCUGUCUCCUCCCCUUCAUCUACACUGAUUGAAGUGGAUUUAACAGGUGAUAGCUUUCAUAGCUUUCACCUGUAUUCACCUGGUCAGUCUAUGUCAUGGAAAGAGCAGGUGUUCCCAAUGUUUUAUGCACUCAGUGUAUUUGAUUACUGAGAAGUAUAGGAGAAU